rnacentral:lncRNA from 11 species
GAGAAGGGGUUCCCUGAAAUGCAAAGGCAAGAGGCCACUAUAACUAGAAAUGUAAUCCAAUAAUAUAAACUAUAAGACAGUAAUUUCUAUAUAUGCUACUAGCUGUGCCCGGCCACGCGUUGCUGUGGCGAAGUAUGGUGGUAUGGGAAAUAAAGUAUUGAGGAAUUGGUAGUUAAGGUCAAGGGUAAAGGUUUUCCCCAGACAUUAAGUCCAGUCGUGUCUUACUCUGGAGGUUGGUGCUCAUCUCCAUUUCUAAGCCGAAGAGCCGGUGUUGUCCGUAGACUCCUCCAAGGUCAUGUGGGAUGACUACAUGUAGCGGCGUUACCUUCCCGCCGGAGCAGUACCUAUUGAUGCACUCACAUUUGCAUGUUUUCGAACUUCUGGGUUGGCAGAGGCUGGAGCUAACAGUGGGGGCUCUCUCCGCUCCCCCAAUUCAAACCUGUGGCCUUUCAGUCCAGAAGUUCAGCAGCUCAGCGCUUUAACACGCUGCGCCAUCAGGGGAUAUUAUUUCCUAAAGGUUGUGAAUAUACAAUAUUUCUGAUUGGUUUUUUUUGUUUGUUGGAGGCAAGUAUGAAUGCUGCAAUUAGGAAAAAUGAUUAGGAUGUAAUGGCCUUGCAGCUUUAAAGCCUGGCUGUUUCCUCCCUGAGUGAAUUUUUUGUUGGGAGGUGUUAGCUGGCCCUGAUUGUUUCCUGUCUGGAAUUCCCUUGUUUUCAGAGUGGUGUUGUUUGCGAUAUUUUAUGUGCUUCUACUGUCUGUGGCCCUGAGAAAACAGAGGAUUUUCCAGACUUUGAUGAUGGGAAUACUUUGUUGGGAGGUGUUAGCUGGCCCUGAUUGUUUCCUGUCUGGAAUACCCUUGUUUUCAGAGUGAUGUUGUUUGCGAUAUUUUAUGUGCUUCUACUGUCUGUGGCCCUGAGAAAACAGGAUUUGCCAGACUUUGAUGAUGGGAAUACUUUGUUGGGAGGUGUUAGCUGGCCCUGAUUGUUUCCUGUGUGGAAUUCCCCUGUUUAUUUACUGUCCUGGUUUUAGAGAUUAUAUUGUUCUGCAUUAUUCUAUCCCAUAUUUCAUAUUAAAGAAGAAUCUCACUUAUCCAACAUUCGCUUAUACAAUGUUCUGGAUUAUCCAACGCAGUCUGCCUUUUCAUAAUCAAUGUUUUUGUAGUCAGUGUUUUAAAUUCAUUGUGAUAUUUU